rnacentral:tRNA from 1 species
GUGAUUUAAUGAAGGUAAAUGAAGCCUUUCAAAGAGAUUUAAAAUCCCUUGCCCUUCGGGGCGUGCCGGUUCAAGUCCGGCCCUGGGCACCA